rnacentral:rRNA from 1 species
AGACACCUACGGGAGGCAGCAGUGGGGAAUAUUGGGCAAUGGAGGAAACUCUGACCCAGCGACGCCGCGUGAGGGAUGAAGGCCUUCGGGUUGUAAACCUCUUUCAGUAGGGAAGAAGCGAAAGUGACGGUACCUACAGAAGAAGCACCGGCUAACUAUGUGCCAGCAGCCGCGGUAAUACAUAGGGUGCAAGCGUUGUCCGGAAUUAUUGGGCGUAAAGAGCUCGUAGGUGGUUCGAUACGUCGGAUGUGAAAAUCAGGGGCUCAACCCCUGACCUGCAUCCGAUACGGUCGAGCUAGAGUUUGGUAGGGGAGACUGGAAUUCCU